rnacentral:tRNA from 1 species
GGGCCGGUAGCUCAGUUGGGAGAGCGCUACGUUUGCAACGUAGAGGUCAGCGGUUCGACCCCGCUUCGGUCCA